UACGUAGGGUGCAAGCGUUAUCCGGAAUUAUUGGGCGUAAAGAGCUCGUAGGCGGUUUGUCGCGUCUGCUGUGAAAACUGGGGGCUCAACCCCCAGCCUGCAGUGGGUACUGGCAGACUAGAGUGCGGUAGGGGAGAUUGGAAUUCCUGGUGUAGCGGUGGAAUGCGCAGAUAUCAGGAGGAACACCGAUUGCGAAGGCAGCUUACUAUGGUGUCAUUGACACUGAGGCACGAAAGCGUGGGGAUCAAACAGG
rnacentral:rRNA from 1 species